rnacentral:rRNA from 1 species
CGGACGGGUGAGUAAUACUUAGGAAUCUGCCCAUUAGUGGGGGACAACUAGAAGAAAUUCUAGCUAAUACCGCAUACGCCCUACGGGGGAAAGCGGGGGAUCUUCGGACCUCGCGCUAAUGGAUGAGCCUAAGUCGGAUUAGCUUGUUGGUGAGGUAAUGGCUCACCAAGGCGACGAUCCGUAGCUAGUCUGAGAGGACGAUCAGCCACACUGGGACUGAGACACGGCCCAG